AUCCAGCUAACGAGUCCUAAAUAGGACGAAAAGCGUGUCCUGGAU
rnacentral:hammerhead_ribozyme from 1 species